rnacentral:rRNA from 1 species
GAUGAACGCUGGCGGCGUGCCUAAUACAUGCAAGUCGAGCGAACAGACGAGGAGCUUGCUCCUCUGACGUUAGCGGCGGACGGGUGAGUAACACGUGGAUAACCUACCUAUAAGACUGGGAUAACUUCGGGAAACCGGAGCUACUACCGGAUAAUAUAUUGAACCGCAUGGUUCAAUAGUGAAAGACAGUUUUGCUGUCACUUAUAGAUGGAUCCGCGCCGCAUUAGCUAGUUGGUAAGGUAACGGCUUACCAAGGCAACGAUGCGUAGCCGACCUGAGAGGGUGAUCGGCCACACUGGAACUGAGACACGGUCCAGACUCCUACGGGAGGCAGCAGUAGGGAAUCUUCCGCAAUGGGCGAAAGCCUGACGGAGCAACGCCGCGUGAGUGAUGAAGGUCUUCGGAUCGUAAAACUCUGUUAUUAGGGAAGAACAAAUGUGUAAGUAACUAUGCACGUCUUGACGGUACCUAAUCAGAAAGCCACGGCUAACUACGUG